GCCGGGCAUGGUGGCACGUGCCUGUAAUCCCAGCUACUCAGGAGGCUGAGGCAGAAGAAUCGCUUGAACCCAGGAGGCGGAGGUUGCAGUGAGCUGAGAUCACGCCACUGCACUCCAGCCUGGGUGACAGAGCGAGACUCUGUCUCAA
rnacentral:SRP_RNA from 1 species